AGUGGAAUUGCUGAGUCAAAUGCUAACUAUAUUUAAUGUUUGAGGAACUGCUAUAUUGUUCUCCAAAGUAGCUACUCCAUUUUAUAUUCCCACAAGCAGU
rnacentral:pre_miRNA from 1 species